UGGGGAAUUGUUCGCAAUGGGCGCAAGCCUGACGACGCAACGCCGCGUGGAGGAUGAAGAUCUUCGGGUCGUAAACUCCUUUCGAUCGAGACGAAUGGCUUUCGGGUGAACAGCCCGGGAGAAUGACGGUACCGAGAGAAGAAGCCCCGGCUAACUCCGUGCCAGCAGCCGCGGUAAUACGGGGGGGGCAAGCGUUGUUCGGAAUUACUGGGCGUAAAGGGCUCGUAGGUGGCCAACUAAGUCAAUCGUGAAAUCCCUCGGCUUAACCGGGGAACUGCGCUUGAUACUGGAUGGCUUGAGUUUGGGAGAGGGAUGCGGAAUUCCAGGUGUAGCGGUGAAAUGCGUAGAUAUCUGGAGGAACACCGGUGGCGAAGGCGGCAUCCUGGACCAAUACUGACGCUGAGGAGCGAAAGCUAGGGGAGCAAA
rnacentral:rRNA from 1 species